UGAGGGAUAUUGGGCAAUGGGGGAAACCCUGACCCAGCAACGCCGCGUGAGGGAUGACGGUUUUCGGAUUGUAAACCUCUGUCCUCUGUGAAGAUAGUGACGGUAGCAGAGGAGGAAGCUCCGGCUAACUACGUGCCAGCAGCCGCGGUAAUACGUAGGGAGCAAGCGUUGUCCGGAUUUACUGGGUGUAAAGGGUGCGUAGGCGGAUUGGCAAGUCAGAAGUGAAAUCCAUGGGCUUAACCCAUGAACUGCUUUUGAAACUGUUAGUCUUGAGUGAAGUAGAGGUAGGCGGAAUUCCCGGUGUAGCGGUGAAAUGCGUAGAGAUCGGGAGGAACACCAGUGGCGAAGGCGGCCUACUGGGCUUUAACUGACGCUGAGGCACGAAAGUGUGGGUAGCAAACAGGAUUAGAUACCCUGGUAGUCCACACUGUAAACGAUGAUUACUAGGUGUGGGGGGUCUAACCCCCUCCGUGCCGGAGUUAACACAAUAAGUAAUCCACCUGGGGAGUACGACCGCAAGGUUGAAACUCAAAGGAAUUGACGGGGGCCCGCACAAGCAGUGGAGUAUGUGGUUUAAUUCGACGCAACGCGAAGAACCUUACCAGGUCUUGACAUCCAACUAACGAAGCAGAGAUGCGUUAGGUGCCCUUCGGGGAAAGUUGAGACAGGUGGUGCAUGGUUGUCGUCAGCUCGUGUCGUGAGAUGUUGGGUUAAGUCCCGCAACGAGCGCAACCCUUGUGAUUAGUUGCUACGCAAGAGCACUCUAAUCAGACUGCCGUUGACAAAACGGAGGAAGGUGGGGACGACGUCAAAUCAUCAUGCCCUUUAUGACCUGGGCUACACACGUACUACAAUGGUCGUUAACAGAGGGAAGCAAUACCACGAGGUGGAGCAAAACCCUAAAAACGGUCUCAGUUCAGAUUGUAGGCUGCAACUCGCCUACAUGAAGUUGGAAUUGCUAGUAAUCGCGGAUCAGCAUGCCGCGGUGAAUACGUUCCC
rnacentral:rRNA from 1 species